rnacentral:rRNA from 1 species
CAGCAGCCACGGUAAUACGGAGGAUCCGAGCGUUAUCCGGAAUCAUUGGGUUUAAAGGGUCCGUAGGCGGUCUUGUAAGUCAGUGGUGAAAGCCCAUCGCUCAACGGUGGAACGGCCAUUGAUACUGCAGGACUUGAAUUAUUGGGAAGUAACUAGAAUAUGUAGUGUAGCGGUGAAAUGCUUAGAGAUUACAUGGAAUACCAAUUGCGAAGGCAGGUUACUACCAAUUGAUUGACGCUGAUGGACGAAAGCGUGGGUAGCGAACAGGAUUAGAUACCCCAGUAGUCCCUGUCUCUUAUAC